CGACGAGAGUAGCCAAUUGAGUUUAAGUUACUCUCAGUUGAGUAGCAGUGGCUGCGAUGAAGCCGACG
rnacentral:snoRNA from 1 species